rnacentral:rRNA from 1 species
GAUGAAUGCUGGCGGCGUGCCUAAUACAUGCAAGUCGAGCGAACAGACGAGGAGCUUGCUCCUCUGACGUUAGCGGCGGACGGGUGAGUAACACGUGGAUAACCUACCUAUAAGACUGGGAUAACUUCGGGAAACCGGAGCUAAUACCGGAUAAUAUAUUGAACCGCAUGGUUCAAUAGUGAAAGACGGUUUUGCUGUCACUUAUAGAUGGAUCCGCGCCGCAUUAGCUAGUUGGUAAGGUAACGGCUUACCAAGGCAACGAUGCGUAGCCGACCUGAGAGGGUGAUCGGCCACACUGGAACUGAGACACGGUCCAGAGUCCGACGGGAGGCAGCAGUAGGGAAUCUGACGCAAUGGGCGAAAGCCUGACGGAGCAACGCCGCGUGAGUGAUGAAGGUCUUCGGAUCGUAAAACUCUGUUAUUAGGGAAGAACAAAUGUGUAAGUAAAUAUGCACGUAUUGACGGUACCUAAUCAGAAAGCCACGGCUAACUACGUG